CUACAAUGUAAUGUCCUUUCUUAAACUAAAAGAAAAACAAAUUGUUGCUGCGUAUUGAAACAAAUUCUUGUUCUGAAAAUUUAACCCAUUGUUUGGUUAAGAUAUUAGAGUUGAGGAGAUUGAAAAUCUAUUAACUGAGAACUGUAUCAGUCGUUUUGCUGAGCACCUACAGAAAUGCAGGCAUGGCUGUGUAGUUAAGAAGUUUGCUUCCCAACCAUGUGGUCUCUCUCAGGCUCAGUCUCACUGCAUGGCACCUAGGGCAAGUGUCUUUUACUAUAGCCUGUGGAUUUUGUGGACAGAAACUGAAAGAAUCCCACUGUAUAUAUAUAUAUAUAUAUAAAUUUAUACAAGAAGAAGAUAGAAUGAACUAUAGCUCUGAGCUGACCAACGUCUUCUGAGUGGAUUUUAUCGAUGGAAACUGAAAGAUGUCUAUCUGUGUGUGUGUGUGUGCAUGUGUAAAUUUAUAAAACAAGAUGGAAUGAACUGAGUCUCUCUAUGUGUCUCCUCAUCUAGAUAUUAUGUGAUUGUGUGGUAGUUGUAAAUGACUAUCACCAUCAUACAAGUGCCAUUUGUUUCCAAUCUUCCAUGAACACAUGUCCAGUCAAGGAACAUGUUACCUAGCUUGGAAAAAAAUGAAGGUUGGUAAUAGGAAGGAUAUCUGGCCAUAGAAAACCUGCCUCUAUAAAUUUUGUCUGACCUUUGCAAGCAUGGAAAAGUGGAUAUCAAAAUGAUGAGGAUGAUGGUGAUGAUAAAUAAUAUAGAUAUAAAAUGUGUAGAAUUGCAAGAAAUAUCAGGAUUUCAAUGCUAUGGUCUUCCUGCAUUGCACUGACAAAGAAUAGUGCUUAGAAACAUAUAGGAAUUUGGUCUGUACUUAAUAAUGACUCAGGGGAACUAUUUUUAUAUAAAAUACAGAAAAAGCAGCCUCACAAUUUAAUGUUGCCUUAGUUUAACUUUGAGGAGGAGUAAAAUAUAACAAAAACUUAAGUCCUAAAAUGUAAUUUAUCAUUGUUAUCUUAAAAAUAUUUUUGAUAUUAUUCAAGAGAGAUCAGAUUCCGCCGAGGUCGAAUUGCCUUUCAUCCUUUCAGGGUUGACAAAGUGCAAAAUGAACACUGGGGCCAAUGUAACCGACUUACUCCCUCCCUGAAAUUGCUGGCCUUGUGUCAAAAUUUGAAACCAAUAUUAUUUAAAUGAAGAUGGCCAUGAACUAGCAGAGUCAUAAACACACCAGACAAAAUACUUAGUGGCUUACAUUCUGAGUUCAAAUUCUGUUAAUAUUGACUUGCCUUUCAUCAUUUCAGGGUUGAAGAAAUAAGUACCAGUUCAUUACUGGGGUCGAUGUAAUUGACUAUACCUUCCCCUAUAAUUUCAGGCCUUGUGCCUAGAGUAGAAAGGAUUAUUAUUCAAAUGAGGAUGGUUAUGAGCAGGCAGUGUCCUUAGCAUACUGAAGAAAUGGCUCACCUGACCAGAAUGAGUUGAUGGACAUGAUAUAUAUAAAGAAAGUUUAAUGACUACGAUGCCAGUUAGCUGCUGACCUAGAACCAAAAACUCCACAUAGUGACUCACAAAAUUUGACUUUGAAUAAAUAUGAUUCUACUCUAA